GGAACGGUAUGGAAACUGGGCUCGAUCGUGAUCUGAAGGCGGUCUCGAAACCGUUACGCGUCGUUAGGCGUGUCGAGGGUUCAAAUCCCUCCCUCUCCG
rnacentral:tRNA from 1 species